UUUUAGAGUGAGAAAUACUGUUUAGAAUGGUUCUGCUAAUUCCUGUCAGAACAGUUCUAGUAGGUAGUUGAUUGGUUGACUCCUAGGGUCCUCUGUUAUAAAAAUGUUAUAAAGCUUCUGGAGCCACCGAGGGACAUCACUUAUUGACAAAGAUCAGGAUUUAUUAAUAUGCUGAUAAUGCUCAGUUCUACAUUUUGAUCUGUACAUGGUUAAGAUAGAGAAGAUGUUGUCCCAUGGCCUGGAGGUGCUAAGAUCUGGAAGGGAUAAAUUGCCUUAAAGCCUCAGCAUGACUGACUGAUUUUGUUUUGUAGACUAUCUAAAGUAAGAAAUAUAUCACUGUUAGUUCUGGAUAGGUCACACUCCCCGUUUGUAAUAGAUGGCAAUUGUGUUGAAGAGGGACGCUGCACAAUUUUAUCUUCUACACCAGUUAUGACCAUUCCUGGAUCAGGAGGCCUUGCACAAUCAUUCAUGUCAUGGUCACGGUUGAAUUACAAGAAGGUAUUGAAGAUGGUAUAGCUCUUGAAAACUACCUGGAAGCUACAACUGCUCCAGAAUCCAGCUUCAGGCAGAGGCCGGCAUGGAAACUUAAGACUAUGGAGAUCUCCAUUCACCCCACAUGAUUCAUUGCAAGGAUUUCCCUUUGCAGGUCUGGGAACAAUAAACAUUUCAAAGACAAGA